CUAUGCGCCUUGCCAGCCCGCUCAGGUGUGCCAGCAGCCGCGGUAAUACGUAGGGGGCAAGCGUUAUCCGGAUUCACUGGGCGUAAAGGGAGCGCAGGCGGCACGGCAAGUCUGAUGUGAAAACCCAGGGCUCAACCCUGGGACUGCAUUGGAAACUGCCGGGCUGGAGUGUCGGAGGGGUAAGCGGAAUUCCUAGUGUAGCGGUGAAAUGCGUAGAUAUUAGGAGGAACACCAGUGGCGAAGGCGGCUUACUGGACGACUACUGACGCUGAGGCUCGAAAGCGUGGGGAGCAAACAGG
rnacentral:rRNA from 1 species